rnacentral:rRNA from 1 species
GAUGAACGCUGGCGGCGUGCCUAAUACAUGCAAGUCGAGCGAACAGACGCGGAGCUUGCUCCUCUGUCGUUAGCGGCGCACGUGUGAGUAACACGUGUAUAACCUACUUAUCUGACUGGUAUAAUUUCGGGACACCGGCGCUUAUCCCGUAUAAUCUCUUGAUCCGUAUGGUUCAAUGGUGAAAUUCGGUUUUUCUGUCACUUAUAGAUGGUUAUGAGCUGGAUUAGCUAGUUGGUAAGUUAACGGCUUAUGAAGGCGACGAUGCGUAGGCGAAUUGAUAGAGUGAUAGCCCACACUGGAACUUAGACACGGACAAUACUCCUACGAGAGGCAGCAGUAUGGAAUCUUCCGCAAUAGUCGAAAACAUUACACAACAACGCCACGUGAGUUAUGAAAAUCUUCCGAUCGUAAAACUCUGUUAUUAGUUAAAAACAAAUGUCUAAUUAAAUAUAGACUUCUUGACGGUAACUAAUAAAAAAGCAACGGCUAACUACGUG